GUGGAAGAAAUGGAAGCUCAGACAGUUCAGGUGACUUACUUGUCUGGGGAUCCAACUGAUGACCCACAAUCUGUGCAAAUUGCAAUAUUGUAUGCUGGUUACUUUCUGGCUUACCUCCCCACCUGGAGUGUGAGCUCUUCCAGGGUAGGGGCCAGGGCCACCUGAGGUUAACGCAAGACGUGUUAUAGACUAGAGCUUAAAUGUUUAUUAAAAAACAACAAGGAAUGCACUCGCAGUCCAGUGCUCUUUCCCAGACACCACGUUGCUUCAUAGAUCACAUAAUGUGAGCAUCAGGAGAAAAAAAAAAUAGAUCAAGGUUUUGGGGGUGAUGCUGGUCAAAGUGAUAAAUGAGUUCAAAGUCACAGUUACAUGAACUGAGGGCUAGCAGGAGGUUAAGGAGAACUGCUGAUUUAAAAAUCUUCAGGUAGUGAGAGUGUUGGAAUAGCACAGGUUAUUCUUCUGCAUCUCAGGUUCGUGUCACCCAUCUGAUUAUAACCUCCAGUGGUUUCCCAGUUUUCUUAGAACAAGAUCAAAACCCUCCAUAUGGGUUGUGUGCCCUGAAGCACCUGCCCCUAACCCCCGCCCUACUCUAUUCUCCCCAGAAACCCCUCUCUUUAUGCCUUUCUGGGCUCUGGCCCCACUUUCAGUUCCUUGACAGUGUCAUGCUCUUUCCUUCAACAGGGCUUUUUGGUACAUGCCACAGUGCUUAAUGCUGCCAUCCGCACACUCUACAAAGCCCCUCCCAAUCCCCUCUCCUGCUAGCUCAAGCAUCAC
rnacentral:lncRNA from 1 species